rnacentral:rRNA from 1 species
AUGCUGCAGAAGAAGAGAUCCGUCUGGACGAUGGUGCUGCGGGUGGUCAUGGUGCUCGACCUACUUGGCCUCAUGGGUUCCUACGCAGCCGGGACCUGCCAUGACACCUUCGCCACCAUCUGGGCCGUGGCGCUGGCUUGCCCCGUCUUGGCCUAUAUCACGUUUGCCUUCGUCACCAGCCGCCGCCUCAGCGGCGACACCACCCCCAGAGCUGCCAGAGACCCAGGGCAGAAAGAGAAGGAGAAAAUCGAGGUGCUGAUGCUGCUGGCGACCUUCGCCGUCACCAUCUCAUACGCCGCCGGGCUGAACCCGCCUGGCGGCUUCUGGACCAGCACCCUGCAGCAGAAGGAUGGCCGCCUUCUUCACCUCGCCGGCGACCCGAUCAUGGAAGAUAGCGCGCUCCGGAGGUACCGGGCCUUCUUCGUCUGCAACACGACGGCGUUCGUCGCCUCCUUGUUCAUCAUCCCGCUCCUCCUGGACGAGAAGUUGAGCAGCAAAAUCUCAGCGCGGUUUCGGGCGGUCUACGGCUUCAUCGCCGUCGCCCUUUUAGGCCUGAUGGGGGCCUAUGCUGCUGGGAGCUGCAGGAAAACUGACAGUACCGUCAAGGUCAUCUUCCUGGCCGCUGCGGUUCCGGCUUGCGUGGGCCUUCAGCUGGCACUUAGUUAUGCUGCUCUCCAUUUGAAACCAAUCAAGGUCAUGCGUGCUUCGUUCUCUGAAUGGUUCGACCACGUAAGAGGCACUGGUCCUGCGGCUGCAGGUGAUGAGGAAUUGGGGAUAAGAUGCUUAUCUUUAUGUCAUGAUGCCAGUGCACUCGAGGACCCAGACCUGAAAAACACUCGCUAUUUUGUUAUGGUACUUGCUAGCUUUGCCGUGAGCAUCACUUACCAAGUAGGACGUACUGGAUCCACCAGGCGGCCUCUGGCAAGACAAGCUGAAUGGCCAUAA